rnacentral:rRNA from 1 species
AUGGACCCUGGCUCCGACAUCAUCGAGUACGAGAGGCCCGGCGUCGUGCGCGUGUACAAGAGCGGCCGUGUCGAGCGCUUCGACGGCACCGACACCAACACCGUCCCGCCCUGCCCCUCCGGGGACCCCGCCAAUGGCGUCGUCUCCAAGGAUGUCGUCCUCGACGCCUCUGCCAACAUCUCCGCUCGCCUGUACAUUCCGGCCGCGGAGCCUGGCAAGAAGCUCCCCGUCGUCGUUUACUUCCACGGCGGCGGUUUCCUUGUCCAAACCCCGGCCUCCCCGUUCUACCACACCUACACCGCGUCGCUCGCCGCCGCGGCGCCCGCCGUCGUCGUCUCAGUCGACUACCGCCUCGCUCCCGAGGACCGCCUCCCCGCCGCCUACGACGACGCCUUCGCCGCGCUUAAGGCGGUCGUCGCCUCGUGCCGCCCGGACGGCGCCGAGCCGUGGCUCGCGGCGCAUGGCGACGCCUCCCGCGUCGUCCUCGCCGGCGACAGCGCCGGUGGGAACAUCGCGCACAACACGGCCAUAAGGCUGCGGAAGGAACGCAUCGAGGACUACGGCGACGGUGUAAGCGGCGUCGCGCUCCUGCAGUCCUACUUCUGGGGGACAGAGCGGGUGGGCGGGGAGCCCACGGAUGCCGCCUACCGCGGCGAGUUUGAGCGCUUGUGGGACGUCGCCUGUGGCAGCCAUUUCGGCCCCGACCACCCUUACAUCAACCCGGCGACGUCGCCCGGGGAGUGGAGCCAGCUCGGGUGCGACCGCGUGCUGGUCACCACGGCCGAGCUCUGCUGGUUCGUGGACAGGGCGCGCGAGUACGCGGAUGGGAUAAAGGCGUGCGGAUGGGACGGAGAGGUCGAGUUCCACGAGACCAAGGGCGAGGAGCAUGUCUACUUGUUUAAGUCCGGCUGCGACAAUGCCGUCAAGGAGCUCGCCGUCGUGGCCGACUUCGUCGGGCGCUGUUGA